GCGCUGGCGGCGUGCCUAAUACAUGCAAGUCGAGCGGACAGAUGGGAGCUUGCUCCCUGAAGUCAGCGGCGGACGGGUGAGUAACACGUGGGCAACCUGCCUGUAAGACUGGGAUAACUCCGGGAAACCGGGGCUAAUACCGGAUAAUUCUUUCCCUCACAUGAGGGAAAGCUGAAAGAUGGUUUCGGCUAUCACUUACAGAUGGGCCCGCGGCGCAUUAGCUAGUUGGUGAGGUAACGGCUCACCAAGGCAACGAUGCGUAGCCGACCUGAGAGGGUGAUCGGCCACACUGGGACUGAGACACGGCCCAGACUCCUACGGGAGGCAGCAGUAGGGAAUCUUCCGCAAUGGACGAAAGUCUGACGGAGCAACGCCGCGUGAGUGAUGAAGGUUUUCGGAUCGUAAAACUCUGUUGUUAGGGAAGAACAAGUACCGGAGUAACUGCCGGUACCUUGACGGUACCUAACCAGAAAGCCACGGCUAACUACGUGCCAGCAGCCGCGGUAAUACGUAGGUGGCAAGCGUUGUCCGGAAUUAUUGGGCGUAAAGCGCGCGCAGGCGGUUCCUUAAGUCUGAUGUGAAAGCCCCCGGCUCAACCGGGGAGGGUCAUUGGAAACUGGGGGAACUUGAGUGCAGAAGAGAAGAGUGUAAUUCCACGUG
rnacentral:rRNA from 2 species